GCUGCGGUCGCCGUCGAUUGUCCGAGCGGUCCGGUUAAGUAUGUUAUUAAAUUGCAGGCAAUACCAAACAAGAGAUCUUUUCACCUAUAAUGAACCAGGCUGAUCUCCAGCCACCGGUGGAGGAUUUUACGGCGGGUCUUCCACGGUGGUCGACGGAAUCACUCACGUGAUCUAUUAGAAGCGCAACUUCUUCUUCAGGUAGAAAAACCUUAUCAGCUUUGCUUUGGAAAACGAGCAAAAGAAUAGAACCUUAUCAGCUCUAUCGUUGCGCCGAGCAGUAGGAGACAUAAAAUACUUAUCAGCUUUGAUAUUUUUGUUGACUGUUACUUUGUCUUUCAUGUGUAAGAUUAAACCAAAAAAAUUCAGACUAUUUAAGACUAAUAUAUUGUGGUGAUUCUCGAUU